UGAUCAGGUCACUUUUUCAGUGCCGUUGUAACUUUGAACAAAUGGUUGUAAGUCAGGGACUACUUGUAAUCAAUUCUGUAACAUACAAGGAAUUCAAAAGUUAGUUAUAGGUUAUGUUUUAAAAUAUGUCGGCUCAUGAGGAUGGAAUAAGUAUUCUAUAUAUUAACACCUAGCCUAGUGCUGACCUAGGCCGAGACCCUUGCUCCCCUCCCUCUCCCCUUCUGCCCUGCUGGUUUCCCAGGCCCCCUUGCAGGACAGGUGUUCUCUGGCUUCUGCGCUUUCCUCUAAGAAGAGACACCUGAUAAAUCAUCAGAAGUUAAUGAUCAAAAGGCUUAUCUGAGCCUUUUCGUUUAUAAAUGUGUAAGACAAAAGAGAAAUAAUAAAGCCACUGGAUAAUUAGUAACCAGUCCAGUCCUGAAACGUUGGAAACCAAGCUGACCCUAGAUCUCCACGCAGAGUCAGGGCGACUUGGGGGACGAGAAGAAGAGGUCAUCUGAAGGGCAGGUAGCUUGGAAGCUGAACCCCAGAAGGGGAAUUAGCCAAGGGAGAGGAGUAGGGAAGGUUUCCCUAGCUGCAACAGAGGAAGAGGAGGCAAAGGAAGAAGCCCACAAGCUUGUCUGCUUCGCCCCACAGGUCUGUUGAUUAGCUUGAUGGGCAAAGGGGAUAUAAACAGAAAUGCCUGUUCAUUGGAAAGGAAAUCUGAAGUGGGGGCAGGGGCUGUGCCCCAACAAAGCAACAAACCCUUUCUGCUGAUUACCUCAAAGGAAUGGAAGGAUUCUUUGGCUCCUACAAAUUCCACUUCAGAAGUACAACAGGGGCAUAUUUUCCUUCUGCUGAAGUUUUAUACAUAUAAAACUUAAAGAAAACAAUAUUAAAGAGUUACCUCUGAAUUUGAAAUAUUUCCAGAACAUGAUUAAGAUAUUUAUAUUUUUUUCUUUAAGGUCUAUAAAAUAACAUGUUGCAGUAUCAUAAUCAGACAAAGGACUUUAAUUCAACUGUAAAAUUAUGUUUCGCAAGAGGGUUGACUAUUAAUAUUUUAAGAUAGUUUAAAUAUUGAAAUUUCAUUUACACUAGAGAGGUUGUUGUAUUAUACUGUUACCUUUAUAUCAAAAAGGAAAGUCACUUUUAUAUUUAUUUGUUUUUUGUUACUUUUUAAUCUGUUCUGUUAUUCCUAUUUUAAUAUUUAUGAAAUAAAGAUAUUUGUAAAAAAAAAUAAAGAGGGAACUCAUUUUAAAUGCCACACGGGUGUGACAUUUAGGUUAAAGACUGCAACCUAGCACACAAAUCCUUUAACUCAGAUGGGGCUAAAGGCUGGGCUGGCUGCUCUGUCAUGCACCCUCCUGCUGAUUCCAACAGGAGCAAUUUAUUACAAGGAUUUUCCAGCUGCCGUGGAAAAUCCAGAAGGAAUCUGGUGGCACCUUUUCCAAUGAACCACUUGAGGCAAGGAGAUCUGGGAUGCUAGGGGCACAGGGUGGAUCUGGUGGAAAAGUAAACUUUCCCUUUUCUCUUAGACAUUUCACUUUCAAUCUUUGUUAUAGUUUAGAUUUGGAAAUGUUAUAUGUUAUCUGUAUUGGACUGAACAAGUGAUUUCUUGUUAAUUGAAUUUAUUCUCUUUGAAGCUAACAUGACCCUAUUGGUUCUGUUGCUAUGUAUGUCAUCCAUUGGUCAAAAUAACGAAGCAUUUGCCUAUUUAUUUUAGAUAGAAACUCCUGUUUUUUAAAAAAAGAGUAUUGGGCUUAGCAGUGAGAAGACGGACUUUCAGGCAUUUCCUGAAUGACCAUCUAUACCGGAGUCUUUUUUGGAUGAUUCGUUUGAAUCUAAGCUGUCCCGUAGAGACAGUGACGUGGGGGGAACUCCAGUGGUCCCAGAGAUGUUCGCAAAAUCUCUGGGAACCUAAGGAAAGCCCUCCUAAUCCAGUGACUUCCAGAUCGGCUUGAUGCUGACUGCAACUGCAAAAGCCCAGAGAGAGAGCUGAAUAUGAACAUGUCGUUUGCUGUGAGUUUUAAAUCCUUUUUUCUUGUUGGAAAGAGAACACUCUAAAUUUGGAA